rnacentral:rRNA from 1 species
AUUGAACGCUGGCGGCAGGCCUAACACAUGCAAGUCGAGCGGAUGAAGGGAGCUUGCUCCUGGAUUCAGCGGCGGACGGGUGAGUAAUGCCUAGGAAUCUGCCUGGUAGUGGGGGAUAACGUCCGGAAACGGGCGCUAAUACCGCAUACGUCCUGAGGGAGAAAGUGGGGGAUCUUCGGACCUCACGCUAUCAGAUGAGCCUAGGUCGGAUUAGCUAGUUGGUGGGGUAAAGGCCUACCAAGGCGACGAUCCGUAACUGGUCUGAGAGGAUGAUCAGUCACACUGGAACUGAGACACGGUCCAGACUCCUACGGGAGGCAGCAGUAGGGAAUAUUGGACAAAGGGCGAAAGCCUGAUCCAGCCAUGCCGCGUGAGUGAAGAAGGUCUUCGGAUUGUAAAGCACUUUAAGUUGGGAGGAAGGGCAGUAAGUUAAUACCUUGCUGUUUUGACGGUACCAACAGAAUAAGCACCGGCUAACUUCGUG